GUAGGGAUACAUCAUAUUUUCGCUUGACUUGUCCAGUUUUCCACUAUUAAGAGGAGAGGAAACUACAAGACUAUUGAGAAAAGGAUAGGAAGAUACUAGACUAUUAAGAUGAAGGAGAGGAGACGAGGAGAGGAAGCUACUAGACUAUUGAGAUGAAGGAGAGGAAGCUACUAGACUAUUGAGAUGAAGGAGAGGAAGCUACUAGACUAUUGAGAUGAAGGAGAGGAAGCUACUAGACUAUUGAGAUGAAGGAGAGGAGACGAGGAGAGGAAGCUACUAGACUAUUGAGAUGAGGAAACUACUAGACUAUUGAGAUGAAGGAGAGGAGAUGAGGAGAGGAAGCUACUAGACUAUUGAGAUGAAGGAGAGGAGACGAGGAGAGGAAGCUACUAGACUAUUGAGAUGAAGGCGAGGAGAUGAGGAGAGGAAGCUACUAGACUAUUGAGAUGAAGGAGAGGAGACGAGGAGAGGAAGCUACUAGACUAUUGAGAUGAAGGAGAGGAGAUGAGGAGAGGAAACUACUAGACUAUUGAGAUGAAGGAGAGGAGAUGAGGAGAGGAAGCUACUAGACUAUUGAGAUGAAGGAGAGGAGACGAGGAGAGGAAGCUACUAGACUAUUGAGAUGAAGGAGAAGAGACGAGGAGAGGAAGCUACUAGACUAUUGAGAUGAAGGAGAGGAGAUGAGGAGAGGAAGCUACUAGACUGUUGAGAUGAAGGAGAGGAAGCUACUAGACUAUUGAGAUGAGGAGAGGAAGCUACUAGACUAUUGAGAUGAAGGAGAGGAGAUGAGGAGAGGAAGCUACUAGACUAUUGAGAUGUAGGAGAGGAAGCUACUAGACUAUUGAGAUGAGGAGAGGAAGCUACUAGACUAUUGAGAUGAAGGAGAGGAGAUGAGGAGAGGAAGCUACUAGACUAUUGAGAUGAAGGAGCGGAGACGAGAGGAAGUCACUUCAGACUGUUGUCAUCAUUAGUUAGACAGAGAUGCAGCCAUGUUGUCUGUGUUGUCAUCAUUACUGAGACAGAGGAGGCAGUUGAAGGCCAAGGAUAGAGACAGAGGAGGAAGCUGAGGGCCAUGGAUAGAAACAGAGGAGGAAGCUGAGGGCCAUGGAUAGAAACAGAGGAGGAAGCUGAGGGCCAUGGAUAGAAACAGAGGAGGAAGUUGAGGGCCAUGGAUAGAGACAAGAGGAGGCAGUUCAGGGCCAUGGAUAGAAACAGAGGAGGAAGCUGAGGGCCAUGGAUAGAAACAGAGGAGGAAGUUGAGGGCCAUGGAUAGAAACAGAGGAGGCAGUUGAGGGCCAUGGAUAGAAACAGAGGAGGCAGUUGAGGGCCAUGGAUAGAAACAGAGGAGGCAGUUGAGGGCCAUGGAUAGAGACAGAGGAGGCAGCUGAGGGCCAAGGAUAGAGACAGAGGAGGCAGUUCAGGGCCAUGGAUAGAGACAGAGGAGGCAGCUACAGGCCAUGGAUAGAGACAGAGGAGGCAGUUCAGGGCCAUGGAUAGAGACAGAGGAGGCAGCUGAGGGCCAUGGAUAGAGACAGAGGAGGCAGUUGAGGGCCAUGGAUAGAGACAGAGGAGGCAGUUCAGGGCCAUGGAUAGAGACAGAGGAGGCAGUUGAGGGCCAUGGAUAGAGA
rnacentral:lncRNA from 1 species